GACGAACGCUGGCGGCGUGCUUAACACAUGCAAGUCGAACGGAAAGGCCCUGCUUUUGUGGGGUGCUCGAGUGGCGAACGGGUGAGUAACACGUGAGUAACCUGUCCUUGACUUUGGGAUAACUUCAGGCAACUGGGGCUAAUACCGGAUAGGAGCUCCUGCUGCAUGGUGGGGGUUGGAAAGUUUCGGCGGUUGGGGAUGGACUCGCGGCUUAUCAGCUUGUUGGUGGGGUAGUGGAUUACCAAGGCUUUGACGGAUAGCCGGCCUGAGAGGGUGACCGACCACAUUGGUACGGAGAGACGGCCCAGACUCCCACGGGAGGCAGCAGUGGGGAAUAUAGCACAAGGGGCGGAAGCCUGAUGCAGCAACGCCGCGUGCGGGAUGACGGCCGUCGUGUGGUAAGCCGCUUUCGCCUGUCACGAAGCGUGAGGGACGGUAAUGGGUAAAGAAGCACCGGCAAACUACGU
rnacentral:rRNA from 1 species